GGAGAGAGUGUGCGUGUAAUAGAAAUAAGGCACUCUUUUCUUGUCGUGGGGGUGUUCCUGAAUGCCACCUUCUUUCUUCCCUUCACCCCAGUCCCUAAAAUCUGAUGGUGAUUAGAUCUAAGAGAGAAAAAGAAAGAGAGGAAGAGAAAAUUUUUUUCUUUCCUUCUUGGUGAUUUGGUUCAGAUCCCAUCGGAUCUACACGAAGGAGUUCACGCAGCAUUCUCUUCUUCGAGAUGUAGAAGAAGAGAUUCAAAUCUAAGACUGAGAAGCGAGAUCUGCAAGGUGCUAGUAUAUCGAUGAUCUUGAUGCUCUGAUCAGACAUCUCCGUAUGGAUACCAGUAG
rnacentral:lncRNA from 1 species